CUUUGCCCAGGCUCCUCUUAGUCCACUGAGAGGGAGCUGGACAGACUGGGCCAUCACUGCCCUGCAAGUCCUCCACACCUAGGCCCCUCUGGACGCAUGCGGAUAGACGUUGUGGUCAGCAGCAGAGCAGACACACCGGUGUGGCCAGGGCAGACGUACUCUCUGUCCCUGCUCUCCUCAGCUCCACCCACACCAUUGUGGGACGACUUGUAAAAACAAGCUGAGAUGGUCUGAUUGACAACCCCCCCCCCCCCUUUCCUAAA